AGAGUUUUGAUCAUGGCUCAGAACGUACGCUGGCGGCACGCCUAACACAUGCAAGUCGAACGAAGUAGCAAUACUUAGUGGCAGACGGGUGAGUAACAUGUAGGUAUCUGCCCUUUGGCCUGGAAUAACACGAGGAAACUUGUGCUAAUACCGGAUAAGUCUUUACGGAGAAAGCUUUAUGCACCAUUGGAUGAGCCUGCACUUGAUUAGUUUGUUGGUGGGGUAAUGGCCUACCAAGACUGUGAUCAAUAGCUGAUUUGAGAGGAUGAUCAGCCACAUUGGGACUGAGACACGGCCCAAACUCCUACGGGAGGCAGCAGUGGGGAAUCUUGCACAAUGGAGGAAACUCUGAUGCAGCGAUGCCGCGUGAGUGAAGAAGGCCUUUGGGUUGUAAAGCUCUUUCGUCGGGGAAGAAAAUGACUGUACCCGAAUAAGAAGGUCCGGCUAACUUCGUGCCAGCAGCCGCGGUAAUACGAAGGGACCUAGCGUAGUUCGGAAUUACUGGGCUUAAAGAGUUCGUAGGUGGUUGAAAAAGUUAGUGGUGAAAUCCCAGAGCUUAACUCUGGAACUGCCAUUAAAACUUUUCAGCUAGAGUAUGAUAGAGGAAAGCAGAAUUUCUAGUGUAGAGGUGAAAUUCGUAGAUAUUAGAAAGAAUACCAAUUGCGAAGGCAGCUUUCUGGAUCAUUACUGACACUGAGAACGAA
rnacentral:rRNA from 1 species